rnacentral:rRNA from 1 species
GACGAACGCUGGCGGCGUGCUUAACACAUGCAAGUCGAACGAAGUGGCGCACGGGUGAGUAACGCGUAAUCAACCUGCCCUUCAGAGGGGGACAACUGUUGGAAACGACUGCUAAUACCGCAUACUGUAGCAGGUGGUUGCGUCUGAUUAGCUAGUGGGAGGGGUAACGGCCCACCAAGGCGAUGAUCAGUAGACGGUCGGAGAGGAGGAACGGGCACAUUGGGAAUGAGACACGGCCCAGACUCCUACGGGAGGAAGCAGGGGGGAAUCUUCCGAAAUGGACGAAAGUCUGACGGCGCAACGCCGCGUGAGUGAUGACGGCCUUCGGGUUGGAAAGCUCCGUUCAUCGGGACGCGGUACCGGAAUAGAAAGCCACGGCUAACUACGUGCCAGCAGCCGCGGUAAUUC